rnacentral:snoRNA from 1 species
CCCUAGAGGCAUUACAGGUGUGGUAGCUCUGCUGUGUCACAUUCACAUGUACAUCGGUAGGUGGCAGAGGGAAGAGAGGCUGUGUCUAUGCUCAGUGUUUGACGUUUGACCUAUGACCUAUGACCAUCUGAAUGAUUAGUAGCCUAACAUU